AGCGGUUAAGCGUUUGGCUGCUAAGCAAAAGGUCGGUGGUUCAAAUCCACUAGCCUCUC
rnacentral:tRNA from 1 species